rnacentral:rRNA from 1 species
UUCGGUCCUGAGUACAGUGGCGCACGGGUGAGUAACACGUGACUAACCUACCCUGGAGUGGGGAAUAACUGAGGGAAACCUUAGCUAAUACCGCAUAAUACCUACGGGUCAAAGGAGCAAUUCGCUUCAGGAGGGGGUCGCGGCCGAUUAGUUAGUUGGCGGGGUAAUGGCCCACCAAGACAAUGAUCGGUAUCCGGCCUGAGAGGGCGCACGGACACACUGGAACUGAAACACGGUCCAG